CAGGGCCACGCGCUGAUGGCAUGGGGUGAGCUGGAGUUUAAACAUUGGUGGGCAAACUUAAAGACACACAACGCUCUUAUCAGACACUGGAUUAAACUACAGGAAUUGAGAAAUGAAGCGGUAAAAGAGUCACAUAAAGUUCCUGUGGAGGAAACUAUGAAGGAGUGAUUAUUACUUUCACCGGAGAGUGAGGACACUGCAGUAAAUACAAAAGGGUUGUGGUUGGUCUGGAGCCUCUCUGGAAUCAUUGUAUGCAAAGCAGAAAAUUAAUGGAGCCCAACAUGCCUCUAUACUUUGCUGAGUGACCCUGGUUGUACGGAGAUGUCCCGCUGCAGUUCUACUUGUGAAGCCACAGCAAAUUUGGGUCGUCCUCCCUACCUGUGAGCUGCUGGAGUACCGACCAGGUGCGCGAGAAGCAGAGCUUUUGCUGGAGCCCAUAGAGGAGUCAACACUCUUUCCACUGUAGCAGACGCAGUGGAAGAUGAAGAUGAACAUUCCCUGUAGAGAAUUAAAGAUGGUGAAGAGAUAGGCCAUGAUCACUGUGCUCUCGUUCACGUACAUCAGGCCAAACGCCCAGAAGCUGUCACCCUGUACCAGAGAUGCCAUAGAUUCUUCAGAAGCCUCAGAUGAGAUACUGGUGAACAGAUGGAGCCUCACAAACAGACAGAGAGUAAAAAGAGGAGAACAUGAAAGUGUAAAGGAGAAGAAGAGGAAAAAAAGAGGUGAAGAUAUGAAAGUGCAGCAGAGGUGCAGGGUGGCUGUAAUCAGUGUGGAAACUCUCCAGCAGAGAGCUGUAGAGCCUCAGGGCCUCAGAUUUCACUGCCCUGAUUAUAAACCUGUGUUAAUUUAACACUCCUGCUUUACUAACACACACACACACGCUGUCUCGUAGACCGGGAUUAACCCCUUCGAUUUCUAGCAGGUAUAUUUCCAUAGACAUCUGCCCUACCUUUUCUAAAUGCACAUUUAGUACACCAUUCAAACAGAACAAUGUUCGUCCACAUACUGCUGCCUUCUCAAGAGCUGAAGGCACUGGUGCUAUGCAGUGGUUAGCUGCAGCGCCAGACCAAUCCCUAAUUUAAAAUGCUAUUGGACAAAAUAUCAGCACUCCACACCUACCACAGAAUACAAGCUGCAUGGGAAAGAUUAUUGCAAGACAACAUUAGGAUCCUCUACAACAACAUGCUGAGAUGAGAUGUAACACACAUAACACACAACGUCUCAAAAUGUAGCUCAAUAAAUAAGACCAAAACUUGCACAUACCAAUUUAUAUUCGUACAAUUUCUGGUACUAUUUAUCUUCCUUGUGAACACCAUUAAAAUUCAACACUUUC